CGCAGAGGGAGGAAGGAAAAGCACAAACUCUUCCCCACCCUCCAUCCUGUGGAGAUCUAAUUAUUAUUCUAGAAAAUCGCUGGAAACUGACACUGUGUUGAAGAUACAUUGGGUUCUGUUUGGGAUCUCCAGUGAGAUGCUCAGUGCUCAGACUGUGGUCCUGGACAAGUAAUAUCAACCUUAAACAAAGAAAUAUUAGGACCUCUGUUUCUCAGCCCCUCCCUGAGACAUCCCAAGUCAGAACCUCAAGUUCACAUCAAGUCUGACUGCCAGCAACUGUAAGCAACUUUUAGUUCUGAUAUACUUGACAAGUGCUAAAUGGACGAUAGUAUGAAGACCUUAACCUGUAUGGUCUUAAAUCCCACCCACCACUUGGAGCUCUUCCACCCAUCCCUUUCUGCUGUGAUAGCGGAAAUUCUUGAGCAACAGAAUGUCAGAGCACCUACCAUACUGCUUUGGGUAACACUGGUCAGAUCUUCCUCAUCAACCUCUUGGUGAGACAUCCAAGUGAGACUGCCAGUGAUCACUGCUUCUGCAAGCUGGAAGCAGAGGGUAUAAUACAGACUUCACUUAAAAGCAUGAGAAAGAGACAAGGGUAUUCUGGGAGCAUCUCAGCCAAAGCAGAGAAGAGACUUUACAUAAAGCUCUCCCAGGGCCCAGUUUCAUCUGCCUUGGAAUCCGGCACAGCAGGAAAUCAACUUGCUGAAACAAGCCACAUCCUCAAUAACCCAUAGCCACAGAGACAGAAAAUGAGAACUUUCUAUCUGAGGAUUUAAAGGGUACCAGGAAAAAUACAAAGGAAAUAUGGAGAAUGACUUAACUAAAUCCAAAAAGUUAGUCCGAGAAAAUACAUUUCUUAUGUAAGAUCCAUCUACCCCACACUUUAUAAGUCCCAACUCACUUCAUGUCUUAAUUGAUAGUUGAACA
rnacentral:lncRNA from 1 species